UACGUAGGAGGCAAGCGUUGUCCGGAAUUACUGGGCGUAAAGCGCGUGUAGGUGGUGGGACAAGUCUGCUGUGAAAGCGCCUGGCUUAACCGGGCGAGGUCGGCGGAAACUGUCCGACUCGAGGACGGUAGAGGGGGGUAGAAUUCCCGGUGUAGUGGUGAAAUGCGUAGAGAUCGGGAGGAACACCUGUGGCGAAGGCGGCCCCCUGGGCCGGCCCUGACACUGAGACGCGAAGGCGUGGGGAGCGAACGGGG
rnacentral:rRNA from 1 species